rnacentral:misc_RNA from 1 species
GAUGAAGAACGUAGCGAAAUGCGAUACUUGGUGUGAAUUGCAGAAUCCCGUGAACCAUCGAGUCUUUGAACGCAAGUUGCGCCCGAAGCCAUUAGGCCGAGGGCACGCCUGCCUGGGCAUCACACGUCGUUGCCCCCCCAUCUACUCCUUCGGGAUUGCGGGGGGCGGAUGAUGGCCUCCCGUGCGCCUCGCCGCGCGGUUGGCAUAAAUGCCAAGUCCUCGGCGACGCACGCCACGACAAUCGGUGGUUGCGAAACCUCGGUUGCCCGUCGUGUGCGGUCGUCGCGCAUCGAGGGCUCGAAAAAAUUGCCGGGUUCCGGCUCGGCUUUCAACGCGACCCCAGGUCAGGCGGGGUUACCCGCUGAAUUUAAGCAUAUCAAUAAGCGAGGA